rnacentral:lncRNA from 1 species
CCUAUCCUAUUGAUCUCAAACCCCAAACCUCUCUUAAGACAUAUACACACAGACAUACGUACACAGGCAAAAUACUCUAUUCAUAAAAUCUAUCCUGUAGCAAAAGUCGAUUUGAUAUUCCGUCGUACUUGAACAUUUGAACGUAGAGACUAUGGUUCAACCUUUGAUGCAACGUUUACCUUGAAUUCGUCGCGUAUCGUCAUUCUGUGUUUUUCCUUUACCUCGUACAUAUCUUUCCAUUCCUCUUUGUAGUUCAAAAGAAUCAUUGUUUUCUUGAGGGAGCUGAAAUGCUCUAAGUUCUCUUUCAUUCUUCUACAUCAUCACCUUAAGA